GAUGAACGCUGGCGGCGUGCCUAAUACAUGCAAGUCGAGCGAACAGAUGAGGAGCUUGUUCCUCUGACGUUAGCGGCGGACGGGUGAGUAACACGUGGAUAACCUACCUAUAAGACUGGGAUAACUUCGGGAAACCGGAGCUAAUACCAGAUAAUAUCUUGAACCGCAUGGUUCAAUAGUGAAAGACGGUUUUGCUGUAACUUAUAGAUGGAUCCGCGCCGCAUUAGCUAGUUGGUAAGGUAACGGCUUACCAAGGCAACGAUGCGUAGCCGACCGGAGAGGGUGAUCGGCCACACUGGAACGGGGACAGGGUCCAGACUCCUACGGGAGGCAGCAGUAGGGAAUCUGCCGCAAUGGGCGAAAGCCUGACGGAGCAACGCGGCGUGAGUGAUGAAGGUCUUCGGAUCGUAAAACUCUGUUAUUAGGGAAGAACAAAUGUGUAAGUAACUGUGCACGUCUUGACGGUACCUAAUCAGAAAGCCACGGCUAACUACGUG
rnacentral:rRNA from 1 species